rnacentral:lncRNA from 1 species
GAAAAAUGGGAAGAAAAAAAGACUUCAUUGGGAAAGGACUUCAUCAGUAUCUGGGAAAAGAGAGAUCGAGGAAAUGGUUGGAGUAAUCAGAGGCGCAGAUUGGCAAGAUCGUAUCAUGGGAAAUUAGUUGGGCAGCAAAGUAAAAACUAAGAAGAAGACGCAGUGAUCAUUCAAGUGAAGAUUUAUGAAGAUGAUUGUGGUGACAUUGGGAAGGACACUCAAGGGACAGUGAAAGGCAGAGUGAAGAGAUAUGAAGACGAUUAUGGCGACUUUAGACAGUAUACACAA